rnacentral:rRNA from 1 species
UAGUGGCGAACGGGUGAGUAACACGUGAGUAACCUGCCCUUGACUCUGGGAUAACCUCCGGAAACGGAAGCUAAUACCGGAUACGAACUGCGAAGGCAUCUUCAGCAGUUGGAAAGAACUUCGGUCAAGGAUGGACUCGCGGCCUAUCAGGUAGUUGGUGAGGUAACGGCCCACCAAGCCUACGACGGGUAGCCGGCCUGAGAGGGUGACCGGCCACACUGGGACUGAGACACGGCCCAGACUCCUACGGGAGGCAGCAGUGGGGAAUAUUGCACAAUGGGCGCAAGCCUGAUGCAGCAACGCCGCGUGAGGGAUGACGGCCUUCGGGUUGUAAACCUCUUUUAGUAGGGAAGAAGCGAAAGUGACGGUACCUGCAGAAAAAGCACCGGCUAACUACGUGCCAGCAGCCGCGGUAAUACGUAGGGUGCGAGCGUUGUCCGGAAUUAUUGGGCGUAAAGAGCUCGUAGGCGGUCUGUCGCGUCUGCUGUGAAAACCCGAGGCUCAACCUCGGGCCUGCAGUGGGUACGGGCAGACUAGAGUGCGGUAGGGGAGAAUGGAAUUCCUGGUGUAGCGGUGGAAUGCGCAGAUAUCAGGAGGAACACCGAUGGCGAAGGCAGUUCUCUGGGCCGUAACUGACGCUG